rnacentral:rRNA from 1 species
AACGAACGCUGGCGGCAUGCCUAACACAUGCAAGUCGAACGAGACCUUCGGGUCUAGUGGCGCACGGGUGCGUAACGCGUGGGAACCUGCCCUUAGGUUCGGAAUAACACCCCGAAAGGGGUGCUAAUACCGGAUAAUGUCUUCGGACCAAAGAUUUAUCGCCUUUGGAUGGGCCCGCGUUGGAUUAGCUAGUUGGUAGGGUAAAAGCCUACCAAGGCGACGCUCCAUAGCUGGUCUGAGAGGAUGAUCAGCCACACUGGGACUGAGACACGGCCCAGACUCCUACGGGAGGCAGCAGUGGGGAAUAUUGGACAAUGGGCGAAAGCCUGAUCCAGCAAUGCCGCGUGAGUGAUGAAGGCCUUAGGGUUGUAAAGCUCUUUUACCCGGGAUGAUAAUGACAGUACCGGGAGAAUAAGCUCCGGCUAACUCCGUG